AGAACAGAUUCUCCCACAGAGCCUUUAGAGGAAGCAAGACCCUGUCAACAGCUUUUCUGAGUUCUAGCCUUCAGAACUGUGAGAGAAUAAAUUUCAGCUUAUGGUACUUUUUAUAUGACAGCCCAAGGAAACUAACACAAGUAUUGGUGGAACACUUCUUCAACAAAUAGCACUUGAAUUAAGGCAGUGGCAGUAAAAAUGGAGAGGAGGAGGUAUGUGGUAGACCAGGGAUAUAUUUGCUAAAGGACAAACGAAGUAAUGAGACUUAGAAACAGAAUGAUGGAGCCAUAAAGAAUGCCUGAAAUGGUAAUAGGAUACAUGCUGGAAUGUUGAUGGGCCCUAUUUCCACAAGCCUCCAAAUCUGCUUCUAGAUCCCAUUCGAGCAAGGGAGGAUUUGUUAAGAAGAAAGGCCCUUUGAGAGCACCAGUCCCUCCACCAGCCAGUCUAGUCCUAAGAGCUCUGAAGGCCAACCUUAGAGGUGGUUCAGGAGGGAAAAUGCAGGACCCAGGAUUUCAGUUGCCAAGCCAGAGAGCAGGGGACCCAGGAAAGAAUAUUGGCAUUCAUUUGAUUUUUCCAUCUUCUGAUAUAACCUUCAAAUGUUAAUAGUGUGUCGAAGAAUUUAUUGGAAGUGAGAAACAAGAAAACAGUGAGUCUAACCUAGUCAUUCUAGAAUUGGGAGGUAAUAGAAAAGAGAGAAAUGGGAAAGUUGCUCAAAUGCAAGUCCAGUGAAUCAGAGAGAAAAGGCUCAAAGCAGCAGAACAAAGCUUCAAUAAAGAGAUAUUGUGACUUGGAGAGAUGGCCUUUUGUCCUUUGUUCUAUUACCGGUCAGAGGAUGGGGAGCACACCCGAGCCUGAGACAACAGCUCUGCUAAGUGCCCUUGAGAGGGCACGGUGGGGUCAGCACCAAAGCCAGACCACUAAAGAGAAAAAGAGAGAAAGACAGGAUUGCAGAGGAGAAAUGAGAAUGGCAGAAAAAAAAUAUUUUUAAGCCAAAAGGAAUCAGAGAAGAGCAGAAGUGCCUCUAGGAUAAAGCGUAGCAGGCAGUUAGGGAAAAAGGGCUGUUAACUACCUUGAAGCUCUGACUACAUUAGAAAGCCUCGCAAGACAGUUGUUGCUUGCACGGGCAGGUAGAGAACUUUUCCUGUCCAUUGUUCUUCUGAAUUAUAAAUCACUGACCUCUUUAUGAUUUCUAAAGGGAGAAUGACUUCAAGCUUCUUAGAGUUCCCCUAAGGCAUUCUCUAUAUUCAAUAUAAUAUGGGAAGCCCUGGGUUUGUCUUUGUAUGUUUCAUCUGCAGUGACCUGAAAUCUUCAUAACCCUCUUCCUUUCUCCACUUAUCAACUAAGGGGUGGUUGGCAAUAAGGAUGGGUGGGAGAUUAAAAAAACCAGAAUUUGAGGAGGAGAGCAUUUAAACCAUCAGACUGUGUGUUCUGUGACAUCAAAGACUGGCAACAUUCUAAAGGAAAAGCAGCUGUGAAGUCAUAAUUAUGUUCACUUCCCACUGGCAACUGGCAAGCCCUUUAUUUUUGUGCAUUUGGAACUCACCAAGAAUAAAUAAAGUCCAUUCCCUCCUU